CAGGACGAACGCUGGCGGCGUGCUUCAUACAUGCAAGUCGAACGAGAAGCUGACUUCGGUCAGUAGAAAGUGGCGGACGGGUGAGUAAUGUGUAGAGAAUCUGCCCUAGAGUGGGGGACAACAGUUGGAAACGACUGCUAAUACCGCAUAUGAGCGUACCUGAAAUGGUAUUCUUGAAAACUCCGGUGCUCUGGGAUGAGUCUGCAUCUGAUUAGCUAGUUGGCGGUGUAAUGGACCACCAAGGCGACGAUCAGUAGCUGGUUUGAGAGGAUGAUCAGCCACAAUGGGACUGAGACACGGCCCAUACUCCUACGGGAGGCAGCAGUAGGGAAUUUUGCGCAAUGGGGGAAACCCUGACGCAAGCAACGCCGCGUGAUUGAAUAAGCCCUUCGGGGUGUAAAGAUCUGUCAGUAGGGACGAAACUUGACGGUACCUACAGAGGAAGCAUCGGCUAACUCCGUGCCAGCAGCCGC
rnacentral:rRNA from 1 species